rnacentral:tRNA from 1 species
GGUGGCUCAGUGGUAGAGCACUUGCUUUCCAUGCAUGAGGCCUUGGGUUCGAUUCCCCAGCACCA